GGUGCUAAUACAUGCAAGUCGAGCGAACAGAUGAGGAGCUUGCUCCUUUGAUGUUAGCGGCGGACGGGUGAGUAACACGUGGGUAACCUACCUAUAAGACUGGGAUAACUUCGGGAAACCGGAGCUAAUACCGGAUAAUAUUUCGAACCGCAUGGUUCGAUAGUGAAAGAUGGCUCUGCUAUCACUUAUAGAUGGACCUGCGCCGUAUUAGCUAGUUGGUAAGGUAACGGCUUACCAAGGCAACGAUACGUAGCCGACCUGAGAGGGUGAUCGGCCACACUGGAACUGAGACACGGUCCAGACUCCUACGGGAGGCAGCAGUAGGGAAUCUUCCGCAAUGGGCGAAAGCCUGACGGAGCAACGCCGCGUGAGUGAUGAAGGUCUUCGGAUCGUAAAACUCUGUUAUUAGGGAAGAACAAACGUGUAAGUAACUGUGCACGUCUUGACGGUACCUAAUCAGAAAGCCACGGCUAACUACGUGCCAGCAGCCGCGGUAAUACGUAGGUGGCAAGCGUUAUCCGGAAUUAUUGGGCGUAAAGCGCGCGUAGGCGGUUUUUUAAGUCUGAUGUGAAAGCCCACGGCUCAACCGUGGAGGGUCAUUGGAAACUGGAAAACUUGAGUGCAGAAGAGGAAAGUGGAAUUCCAUGUGUAGCGGUGAAAUGCGCAGAGAUAUGGAGGAACACCAGUGGCGAAGGCGACUUUCUGGUCUGUAACUGACGCUGAUGUGCGAAAGCGUG
rnacentral:ncRNA from 3 species